rnacentral:rRNA from 1 species
UACAGAGGUGCAGCGUUGUUCGGAAUUACUGGGCGUAAAGGGCGCGUAGGCGGCCUUGUAAGUCCCGUGUGAAAUCCCUCGGCUCAACUGAGGAACUGCACGGGAAACUGCUUGGCUUGAGUUCGGGAGAGGGAAGCGGAAUUCCGGGUGUAGCGGUGGAAAUGCGUAGAUAUCAGGAGGAACACCGGUGGCGAAGGCGGCAUCCUGGACCGACAUUGACGCUGAGGAGCGGAAAGCCUAGGGGAGCAAACGGG